rnacentral:rRNA from 1 species
ACGUAGGCAGCAAGCGUUGUUCGGAGUUACUGGGCGUAAAGAGUGCGUAGGUGGUUUUCUAAGUUCGGUGUGAAAUCUCCCGGCUCAACUGGGAGGGUGCGCCGAAAACUGGAAGACUUGAGUGCGGGAGAGGAGAGCGGAAUUCCUGGUGUAGCGGUGAAAUGCGUAGAUAUCAGGAGGAACACCUGUGGUGCAGACGGCUCUCUGGACCGCCACUGACACUGAGGCACGAAAGCGUGGGGAGCAAACAGGAUUAGAUACCCUGGUAGUCCACGCCCUAAACGAUGCAUACUUGGUGUGGGUCAUUCAGUUGAUCCGUGCCGGAGCUAACGCGUUAAGUAUGCCGCCUGGGGAGUACGGUCGCAAGGCUG